GGCCUGAUCGCCAAGUGGUAAGGCAACGGUUUGCAAAACCGUCAUCGUGGGUUCAAAUCCCGCUCAGGCCU
rnacentral:tRNA from 1 species